GACGAACGCUGGCGGCGCGCUUAACACAUGCAAGUCGAACGGAAAGGCCUGCUUUCCCUUGUGGAUUGCGGGUACUCGAGUGGCGAACGGGUGAGUAACACGUGAGUGAUCUGCCCCCAACUUGGGUAUAAGCCUGGGAAACUGGGUCUAAUUCCCGAUAGGACUGCAGGGUGGUGCCUGUGGUGGAAAACGAUUUUCUAGUGGUUGGGGAUGAGCUCGCGGGCUAUCAGCUUGUUGGUGGGGUAAUGGCCUACCAAGGCGGCGACGGGUAGCCUGCCUGAGAGAGUGGACGGGCACAGUGGGACUGAGAUACGGCCCAGGCUCCUACGGGAAGCAGCAGUGGGGAAUAAUGCACAAUGGGCGGAAGCCUGAGGCAGCGACGCCGAGUGGGGGAUGACGGGCGUCGGGUUGUAGACUCCUUUCGACCGCGAGGAAGCCACCUGGUUGGAAGGGUGGUGACGGUAGUGGUAGAAGAAGCACCGGCUAACUACGUG
rnacentral:rRNA from 1 species